AAAAAAAAUUCAAUAGGAUCCAAAGGAUGAGCAACAUAUCCGAAGAAAUUGGGAGUGUCAUGAUUCAAAUCGUCUUACCGAUAUUUUUAAUGAGGCUCGUGAAAAUCGUGACUACAAGUCAGAUUGGGUUAAAGAGGGUGUAUGGCAGGAGCUGUGAAAAUAUUAGAAUGAUGAGUUUAAGGCCAGAAGUUAGAAGAACAAGAAGAAUCGUGCAUCUGAUUAUGGUGGAUUGGGCUUUCCACUUCACACUGGCGGUUCCAUUAGUAUUAACAACCAUGCGAUAAGAUUGAUACAGAAGUUGAAUCGAGUACUUACAAUGGAUGAGCUCUUCAGACACACCCAUCAAAAAAAAGGAUGGCAAUCAAUGGAUGAAUAAGAGGGCAAAGAUAGCAUACACUAAUUUUACACUAAAGUGGCAAGAGGUGUAAUCAAAUCGAAGCUCGACUGGGGAGGAUGGUACAGAAUCAUCACAGUAGUAGUUUCAACCACCUAUGAUGCAUGUAUGAAAAGAGACAGUUGGAGUGAACGAGAGACGGAUUUAUGGACUUGGAUCACAAGGUAGUUUGCUGAUAGGCUAUUCAUCUUCUGACCGUAUAUCUUCACGAGUCUCGGAGGAGUGGAUUUAGGAGCGAAAAAAGAUUUAUGCUAUAUUUGAGACUGUAUUUGCUUAAAAUAAAGAGUUAGCUGCUCAGAACAGUCAAUUAGCAAUCCAGAACAAUGAAUUAG